GAUAUUCCUGUACUAGGUUAUAUAGUGAUUGGAGGGACGCAGUAGGCUAAGGUAAGCCAGUUAAUGGAUUCUGGUCUAAGCAGUGAGGUUUGGUAUGAGUCAAAUGCUUGUACCUAUAAGAUUGAGCUGUGAUGGGGAAGCACUUUCGAGUGCGAAGUACCUGAUGUCACACUGCCAAGAAAAUCUUCUAGCGUUUAAUUAUAACCUACCCGUACCGCAAACCGACACAGGUAGUCGAGGCGAGUAGCCUCAGGUGAGCGAGAGAACUCUCGUUAAGGAACUCGGCAAAAUGACCCCGUAACUUCGGGAGAAGGGGUGCUCUACAUUUGUAGAGCCGCAGUGCAGGCCCAAGCGACUGUUUAUCAAAAACACAGCUCUCUGCUAAAUCGUAAGAUGAUGUAUAGGGGGUGACGCCUGCCCGGUGCUGGAAGGUUAAGAGGAGUGCUUAGCGUAAGCGAAGGUAUGAAUUGAAGCCCCAGUAAACGGCGGCCGUAACAAUAACGGUCCUAAGGUAGCGAAAUUCCUUGUCGGGUAAGUUCCGACCCGCACGAAAGGCGUAACGAUUUGGGCACUGUCUCAACGAGAGACUCGGUGAAAUUUUAGUACCUGUGAAGAUGCAGGUUACCCGCGACAGGACGGAAAGACCCCAUGGAGCUUUACUGCAAGUUGAUAUCGAGUAUCUGUUGCACAUGUACAGGAUAGGUAGGAGCCAUUGAUCUGAGGACGCUAGUUUUCAGUGAGGCGAUGUUGAGAUACUACCCUUGUGUCAUGGCUACUCUAACCCGCAUGCCUAAUCGGCAUGGGAGACAGUGUCUGCUGGGCAGUUUGACUGGGGCGGUCGCCUCCUAAAGAGUAACGGAGGCGCUCAAAGUUUCCCUCAGCAUGGUUGGAAAUCAUGCGUAGAGUGUAAAGGUAUAAGGGAGAUUGACUGCGAGACUUACAAGUCGAGCAGGUACGAAAGUAGGACUUAGUGAUCCGGUGGUACCGCAUGGAAGGGCCAUCGCUCAACGGAUAAAAGCUACCCUGGGGAUAACAGGCUUAUCUCCCCCAAGAGUUCACAUCGACGGGGAGGUUUGGCACCUCGAUGUCGGCUCGUCGCAUCCUGGGGCUGUAGUCGGUCCCAAGGGUUGGGCUGUUCGCCCAUUAAAGCGGCACGCGAGCUGGGUUCAGAACGUCGUGAGACAGUUCGGUCCCUAUCCGUCGCGGGCGUAGGAAAUUUGAGAGGAUCUGCCCUUAGUACGAGAGGACCGGGGUGGACUUACCGCUGGUGUACCAGUUGUCUUGCCAAAGGCAUCGCUGGGUAGCUAUGUAGGGAACGGAUAAACGCUGAAAGCAUCUAAGUGUGAAACCAACCUCAAGAUGAGAUUUCCCAUUCUUUAUGAAUUAAGAGCCCUGAGAGAUGAUCAGGUAGAUAGGCUAGAAG
rnacentral:rRNA from 1 species